rnacentral:ncRNA from 2 species
UACAGAGGGUGCAAACGUUGUUCGGAAUUACUGGGCGUAAAGCGCGUGUAGGCGGCUAUGCAAGUCGGGCGUGAAAGCCCACGGCUCAACCGUGGAAGUGCACUCGAAACUGCGUAGCUAGAGUCCCGGAGAGGAAGGUGGAAUACUUGGUGUAGAGGUGAAAUUCGUAGAUAUCAAGUGGAACACCGGUGGCGAAGGCGGCCUUCUGGACGGUGACUGACGCUGAGACGCGAAAGCGUGGGGAGCAAACAGG